AUUUGUAACAUGUUUUUGGGAAUUUUUAAUUAGUAUGAGAUUUAUUCGAGGCUAAUUAAAAUUUUGUUGAGAAUUCGUUGGUUUUGAUCGUCUACAAUGCAUGCAUUUAGACUUGAUUUUUCACGAGAUUUUUUUUGUCUAUUACGUCACAUUUCUCCGAAUUUUGGUUCUUAUAUGACGAAUCACAUACCAAUUCUUACUAAUUCAAUCAUUUUUGUUAUGUGUUAUGAAAAAAUUACAGUAAUGCGGUGGUAGGAAUAGGUAUGUUCUUUUUUACCGUCCUUUCAUUUUUUAGGUUUGGCCUUUUUGGUAACACUCUUUAGUAAUUGGUACUACUAGCUACAUUCUUAAUUUUUGGUUUAUAAGGAAAGCAUUUGUGAAAUUUGAUUUUUAUAUAUGGUGUAGGAAAUGAGAUUUGGACAAUGAAUAGUAGUUGGUUCAAUUAUUGCAUUUAGUGCAUCAACAUUUGGAAGUGUAUGAGGAGUGGGUGGUGGAAUUUAUGUUCCUAUGCUUAUUCUAGUUAUAGAUUCGAUGCGAAGGCCUCCGUCCCAGUUUCUAAACAUAAGAGUGUUGUGCUUGGUUGCUAGAAUUUUGUUUUCAGGAACGUAUAUAAGGACAACAUUUUUGCUAUUUGGUCUUUAUGGUGAGGUGUGAUAAUGGAUAAUGCAGCUUCAAUUUUUUACUGCAAUUUUAAGAGACGGCAUCCAAUACUUGAAAUGCCUGUAACCAACAACACUUUGGCGGUGCUUAUACAAUCGAUGUUAAUGUUGGAGUCAGUAUCGGUGUAGGUAUAGGUGGGAUCCUAGCGGAUUGGAUGGUCAUAGUUCUUCUGAUUUUUAUUUUUAGUGGCACAUCAGUUAUGAUGCUCUUGGAGGACAUAUAGUUUUGGAAAAAAAAACAAUAGAAGAGAAGGUUCUGGAAAAUGCUGCACGUAUCGAAUAACUUACUGAAGAGAUGCCUGUUUGUGAG